UACGUAGGGGGCAAGCGUUGUCCGGAUUUAUUGGGCGUAAAGCGCGUGUAGGCGGCCAGAAAAGUCCGCUGUGAAAACUCGAGGCUCAACUUCGAGCUGUCGGUGGAAACUUUCUGGCUAGAGUCCGGAAGAGGAGAAUGGAAUUCCUGGUGUAGCGGUGAAAUGCGCAGAUAUCAGGAAGAACACCCGUGGCGAAGGCGGUUCUCUGGGACGGUACUGACGCUGGAGACGCGAAAGCGUGGGGAGCGAACAGG
rnacentral:rRNA from 1 species